rnacentral:rRNA from 2 species
AAAUUGAAGAGUUUGAUCAUGGCUCAGAUUGAACGCUGGCGGCAGGCCUAACACAUGCAAGUCGAACGGUAACAGGAAGCAGCUUGCUGCUUUGCUGACGAGUGGCGGACGGGUGAGUAAUGUCUGGGAAACUGCCUGAUGGAGGGGGAUAACUACUGGAAACGGUGGCUAAUACCGCAUAACGUCGCAAGACCAAAGAGGGGGACCUUCGGGCCUCUUGCCAUCAGAUGUGCCCAGAUGGGAUUAGCUUGUUGGUGAGGUAACGGCUCACCAAGGCGACGAUCCCUAGCUGGUCUGAGAGGAUGACCAGCCACACUGGAACUGAGACACGGUCCAGACUCCUACGGGAGGCAGCAGUGGGGAAUAUUGCACAAUGGGCGCAAGCCU